rnacentral:lncRNA from 1 species
GUGGUGUGAUUUCAAUCUCAGCUCACUGCAACCUCCGCCUCCCCGGUUCAAGUACUGCCAACAAGAAGGCCCAAUCAUGAUCCUCCCACAACAAGAGCAGAUUGUGAGCGUGGCAAGCUCUAUGCUGAGCACUGGAAGGACAAAGAGAGAUUGGGUAUAGACUUCUCACUGAUCCAGGUGAUGAGGAGCUCACAUCUGAGAGGAUGUGACCAUGGAUGACCCACCAGAAUGUCAUGGGAUCCAGCUACAGCCAAGGAAGCACAGAGCACCAUGGGAGCGAUUUGUUGUGCUUGGGGAUGGGGAAGGGGACAUGGGAGGAGCCAUAUUGAGAAGGUAACAUGGGUAUUUGGCUUCACAGAGUGUGGCAGCUUUCAUCAGGAAGCGAUGGUGGGGGAACAGCGUCUCUGGCGGAGGGAAGCAGCAGGUGCAGAGGUGCAGAGGUGUGAGGAAUCUGUCACGUUCUGGGAAGGGAGUAUGGUUGGGUGACAAUGCAAGACAGAGAAAGCAAGGAGGGAAGGAGGGGCCUAGCCUGAGGAAUAAAGAAUAAUAAAAGCAGGAAAACAAUU